AUUGAACGCUGGCGGCAGGCCUAACACAUGCAAGUCGAGCGGAUGAAGGGAGCUUGCUCCUGGAUUCAGCGGCGGACGGGUGGGUAAUGCCUAGGAAUCUGCCUGGUCGGGGAGGAUAACGUCCGGAAACGGGCGCUAAUACCGCAUACGUCCUGAGGGAGAAAGAGGGGGAUCUUCGGACCUCACGCUAUCAGGUGAUCCUAGGUCGGAUUAGCUAGUUGGUGGGGUAAAGGCCUACCAAGGCGACGAUCCGUAACUGGUCUGAGAGGAUGAUCAGUCACACUGGAACUGAGACACGGUCCAGACUCCUACGGGAGGCAGCAGUGGGGAAUAUUGGACAAUGGGCGAAAGCCUGAUCCAGCCAUGCCGCGUGUGUGAAGAAGGUCUUAGGAUUGUAAAGCACUUUAAGUUGGGAGGAAGGGCAGUAAGUUAAUACCUUGCUGUUUUGACGUUACCAACAGAAUAAGCACCGGCUAACUUCGUG
rnacentral:rRNA from 1 species